rnacentral:rRNA from 1 species
GAACGCGAAGAACCUUACCUACCCUUGACAUGCCUGGAACCCUGCUGAGAGGUGGGGGUGCCCGAAAGGGAGCCGGGACACAGGUGCUGCAUGGCUGUCGUCAGCUCGUGUCGUGAGAUGUUGGGUUAAGUCCCGCAACGAGCGCAACCCUUGUCGUUAAUUGCCAUCAUUUAGUUGGGCACUUUAACGAGACUGCCGGUGACAAACCGGAGGAAGGUGGGGAUGACGUCAAGUCCUCAUGGCCCUUAUGGGUAGGGCUUCACACGUCAUACAAUGGCGCAUACAGAGGGUUGCGAAGCCGCGAGGUGAAGCCAAUCCCAGAAAGUGCGUCGUAGUCCGGAUUGCAGUCUGCAACUCGACUGCAUGAAGUCGGAAUCGCUAGUAAUCGCGGAUCAGCAUGUCGCGGUGAAUACGUUCCCGGGUCUUGUACACACC